AACUAUUGAUAAGAUAUUAUCACGUAAUUCAAUGUUCUUGUCUUUAAUAAAGAUAACAUUUCCAGUUAAAAGAUCAGUACCUAUUAAUAGGCAAAGUAGAGGACAGUGACCUUGUAAUUUAUGUUUCGAUCAUACGAAACACAAAGUUAAUAAAUUCUUACGACGAAAUAAUACGUACGUCUCGACUGCUUCUGUAAGUAGUUUUGGGUAAGCCGAGCUUCAUUACACACACAGUUAUAAUUAGGAUCUGAAAAGGACUAAUUGCAGACAGCGAUCCCAGAUUGCUGUAGGUAGACCGAGCAAUAACGCAGAUAAUCUCCUCCGUCGUAAUUAUUGCUUCAAAGAUGACUAUGUACGUACUACACUGCAAAUGCAUCUCUAUGUAUAACGGUCGCAAUGUCGCGAUCCGUCGGGCCACCGAUUACAGUGGUGCGCUUUACGGAGAUAGACGAGAAUAAUGCUUGCACAGCUUACAAGAACUUACCUUGAAGUGGGGGAAAAGGAAGAAAGGAUGUUAAAAAAAUUGCUGACGUGACAUUACGCGUACGGUAAAUUCGACGGAGAAAAGAGGGAGGUCCAAAGCUCUGGUAUGUCACGUCCGACUGAUUGGAGGAUGAUCGCCGUUGGCAAAAAAAAGGAAAUGCAGCGUUCUACGAAUCGCAUUUUUCGACGAUCGAGACGAAAAAAAUAAUGGCAGUAACCGCAGAAUUGAAUGUGACCUUUGGGAAUACGAUCCAAUACGACUGAAGGCAUUAACAGUGCUUUAUGUUUCGAAUUAUUAUUACAUAGUAUGGAACUCUACACGAAACGUAUAGAAUAAUAAAUUUGAAAUUUAGUCAUUU
rnacentral:lncRNA from 13 species